rnacentral:rRNA from 1 species
AUGGUGAUCAGCUUCAGUUGCUCAGCAAGUAGAAAACUGACGGGGAUCUUGGCCUUGCUGUUCAUGAUGACCCGAGUCUAUGGCCAGUCUACUUCGGGGUUCAUAAGCAUCGAUUGCGGAAACAGACGCACCUACAACGACAGCCCAACAGGAAUACAGUACCAUUCUGAUCAUGGAUUUGUCGAUGGUGGAUUGAGCCACAAGAUUUCAACGGAGUUCAUGGCUGAUGCCACGAAUGAGCAACAAAAAACCUUGAGAAGCUUCCCUCAGCGCUCAAGGAAUUGCUACACGCUGCCAUCCGCCACUGGUAAGAAGUUUCUGGUGAGGGCCUUGUUUACUUACGGCGACUAUGAUGGGUUGAACAGUACUAUGAGCGGGUCGCUUUUUCGGUUUGGGCUCCAUAUCGGUGUCAAUUUCUGGGAGGCGGUGAACUUGACAAAUUCAGAUCCAUCAAACACAAUAUGGAAGGAGGUGCUCACUGUUGCACCUGGCAACAACCUGUCGGUCUGUUUGAUAAACUUCGGUACAGGGACACCGUUCGUGUCUUCGUUGGAGCUGAGGCCACUGCAAGAUGUGAUGUACCCUUUUGUGAAUUCUUCGGUGUCAAUCAGCUACUUUAUACGGAUCAGAUUUGGUAACAUGACAACAAACCUUAUCACAAGAUAUCCGAUGGACGAUUAUGACCGGUUCUGGGAGAGCUCUUCUUCCUCCUACGCCACCUACCCCUUUCUCAGCCGGACCACUAGCAAUGAAGUGAGGAGGCUCCCAGGCAAUGACGCCUUCCAGGUACCGCAAGCCAUCCUCCAGAACGCCACGACCCUAGACACGAACUACACCUUUUUCAGCGUUGUCGUGGCGGCGGGUCCCAACCUGGACUCAACGAACCUGCAGCUUCUCCCGAUCUUCCACUUUGCCGAGGUCGUUGACAACAAUCCAAAUAGGUCGUUCAACAUCUACAGCGGCGACGAAAUGUUGUUCCCAGACUUCUCACCUUCGCGAUCCCAGGUGGACAGCAUGCACCAGAAUGGGCGCUUCUUGCAUAACCCCGCAGCCUCCUUCCUUCUGAACAAGACCAACAACUCGGUGCUCCCACCGCUCAUCAAUGCGUUCGAGCUGUACUCUCUAGUUCGGAUGGAUAACCUCACGACUGACUCCAACGACGUCAGUUACAUCAAAGAAGUGAAGAAGCACUACAAUUUGGCACAAAUAAACUGGAAUGGAGAUCCAUGCUCCCCAAGAGAGUAUUCCUGGGAAGGUUUGAUUUGCAGCUACCCUAAGAGCAACCAGAAUCCAAGAAUAAUUGCAGUAAAUCUGUCUACCAGUGGACUGAAAGGUGGAUUAACCAUAUCAUUCAUGAACAUGUCAUCACUGAUAAACUUGGAUUUAUCACACAACAAUUUGACAGGAGCUAUUCCAGACUACCUAGGGUCACUCAGAGUCCUCAACUUGUCAAAUAACCAGCUUGAUGGACCGAUCCCUGAUUUUAUUCUUCAAGGUUUUCAGGCCGGCCUGCUUGACUUAAGAUUAGAAGGCAAUCCCCUAUGCUCAAAAGUCAAAGAUGCAUACUGCUCAAAUAAGAAGAACACCAUACAUAUCAUACUCAUCGCAGUGAUAGUUCCUGUGGUACUGGUAUCCCUCCUAGUAGUGAUGUGCAUACUCUGGAAGUUAUGCUGGAAAGGGAAGUCAGAAGACCAUGAGGAUUAUUCCAUGUAUGAAGAGGAAACUCCACUACAUAUUGAUAUCAGACGGUUCACGUACACAGAGCUGAAGCUCAUAACAAAAGACUUCCAAUCAAUCAUUGGAAAGGGAGGUUUCGGUAUUGUUUAUCAUGGCACACUGGAAAAUGGUGACGAGGUAGCUGUGAAGGUGCUCAUGGAGACAUCAAUAGCAGAGUCAAAAGACUUCCUCCCAGAGGUGCAAACCUUGUCCAAAGUUCAUCACAAGAACCUUGUGACUCUGCAAGGAUAUUGCCAGAACAAGAAGUGCCUAGCACUCGUUUAUGAUUUUAUGCCCAGAGGAAAUCUUCAACAGCUUUUAAGAGGAGAUGACUAUAGUUUGAAUUGGGAACAACGGCUUCAUAUUGCACUUGAUGCUGCACAAGGCCUUGAGUAUUUACAUGAGUUAUGCACCCCAUCAAUAGUGCACAGAGAUGUGAAGACCCCAAACAUCCUUCUGGACAAUAAUCUGGUGGGGGUAAUAUCUGAUUUUGGGCUUUCGCGGGCUUUUAAUGAUGCUCACACACACAUAUCUACUGCUGCUGCUGGCACUCUUGGCUACCUCGACCCUGAGUACCAUGCAACUUACCAACUCACUGUCAAGACAGAUGUUUACAGCUUCGGCAUCGUGCUCUUGGAGAUCAUCACCGGCCAAUCCCCAGUAGUUAUGGACCCUCAAACUGUCCACCUCCCAAAUUGGGUGCGGCAAAAGAUAGCUAACGGCAGCAUUCACAAUGUUGCAGACAAGAAACUGCUGGAUCUGUACGAUGCCAGUUCCCUGCAGAGUGUAGUGGACCUGGCCAUGAACUGCCUCGAAAACGCAGCCAUCAACAGGCCGACCAUGACCGAGGUUGCUUCAAGGCUCAAAGUGUGGUUGCCAGCUGUUUCUGGGGCCCCUCGACACACGGACUCCAUGGAUACUGAAAUUCCAAGGCAGUUCCGGCUGAUGAUUUCAAGAGCAAGAAACGAGGGGAUAUCCUUCCAGUCUGGCUAUACCAAUGGGAUUUCACAAACGAGCCUCUUUUCUGGACGGUGA